GCUGGUGGCUGUCUUCUAGGCAUUGUGCUGCCUUGGUGGUGAGAUUGAGUGAGCAAGCUGAGGACAGAGAAUACAAGGGAGACGACAGAACCUUACCUCCUCCUACUGUCAAGAUGAAGAAUAUAGAUUCUUCAUCUACUGGAGAUUCAGCAGCUGUUUGGGCCGGGCCUUUAGAUCACCACCUCUGAAAUCUUCAACACAAACCUACUCCUGGCAUUUAAAGUCUACCAACAUCUUUAUAAGCAUCUCCACGUGACAUCUGAUAGGCAAAGCCAAACAGCAGCGGAAACGGAGCCGGUGUUCUUGAUGUCUUCCUCACUUGGACUGUCUCCUCCCUCAACUCCCUCAACCUUCCUCCUCUUAGCAGGUGGCACCACUCUGCUCCUCAACCCUAAAGUCCAAGAGUUCUGUUGGAGUAAUCUGUACCUACCACUGGGCUACCCAACCCAUCCCACACCUCUGACUGCACACAUUGCUUGGAUUCCAUCACCCUCAUCAGACCCAAAGUGGAGGUGACCAGACUCCCAUGUGCUCUGCUUUUAGCAAGUGUUAUCCUUGGAAAAUUCCAAUCAGACCCCUCCACUCUCAUAUAAUCCAGCCUGUCUCAUGCUAUCUUAUUCCAGCAGGCACAGCAGCCCAGCCCCUUCCUUGCCUCCUUCCCCAGCCCCAGGCCUGUCUCAGCAGCCCACUCAUCUCAAUGGCUUUGACUUUAUUAGCAAUUUUUCACACUGACCACAUCAUGAUCUCGAGUUCGUCCUGUGUGCUUAUUUUCUGUCCUAUCCCUUGAGAAUACAAGCUUCCUGAGCACAGGGGACCUUCCCUCCCGACCCCACCCCCUGCUGUUUCCCAAGGCUCAGCAUCAGAGCCUGGCAUCUGGACCACAUUUGUUGAGUCUGUGAAUGACUGAACUCCACACUUCCUGUCCUUUGCUCUCAGUACGCUGCCAUUGUCUUCACUACUGUCCGCAUUGUUAAAUAACCGUUUGUGGUCGUGCAUUUUAUUCAUAGGCUCUGAAUUUUAACAAGAGGUUACCUCUUUAGUGUGCAAGUCGUCUCUUUGAGCCUAGACUUUUGGUUGUGGCCCGUGACUCAAAUACUAUACUGGUAGGAAAACUUUCAACAGCAAACCACACACAUUGUCAGAGGCCAGCUUUGACCUGCUCAGUGGUAUAAGAGAACAGAGA